CCUACGGGUGGCUGCAGUAAGGAAUAUUGGUCAAUGGACGAAAGUCUGAACCAGCCAUGCCGCGUGGAGGAUGAAGGUCCUCUGGAUUGUAAACUUCUUUUAUAUGGGACGAAAAAAGGCCUUUCUAGGCCGUCUGACGGUACCAUAUGAAUAAGCACCGGCUACCUCCGUGCCAGCAGCCGCGGUAAUACGGAGGGUGCAAGCGUUAUCCGGAUUCACUGGGUUGUAGGGGUGCUGAUAUGUCUGUGGUGAAAUCUCCGAGCUUAACUUGGAGACUGCCAUUGAUACUAUUACACUUGAAUAUUGUGGAGGUUAGCGGAAUAUGUCAUGUAGCGGUGAAAUGCUUAGAUAUGACAUAGAACACCAAUUGCGAAGGCAGCUGGCUACACAUAUAUUGACACUGAGGCACGAAAGCGUGGGGAUCAAACAGGAUUAGAUACCCUGGUAGUC
rnacentral:rRNA from 1 species